UACCAGCACCCCGAGUGGUCGGGACGUUUAUUGGGCCUAAAGCAUCCGUAGCCGGUUCUACAAGUCUUCCGUUAAAUCCAACUGCUUAACAGGUGGGCUGCGGAGGAUACUAUAGAGCUAGGAGGCGGGAGAGGCAAGCGGUACUUAGUGGGUAGGGGUAAAAUCCGUUGAUCCAUUGAAGACCACCAGUGGCGAAGGCGGCUUGCCAGAACGCACUCGACGGUGAGGGAUGAAAGCUGGGGGAGCAAACCGG
rnacentral:rRNA from 1 species